AGCCCAGAUCUGGGCAUGCUUGGUGGGCCAGGGAGGAGCUGAGAUGGGUGGAAGGUGUGGAGGUGAGCUCUUACCUGGGGAAUACAGAGUUCGUGGAAGGGUCUCCUGGCUCCUGGCUGGUGAAGCUGAAUUGAAUAAUGACGCUGAACCUAUAACUUUCCUCUUGAUUGUUUUCUCUCAUCGUAGCGUGUGCCCUGUGUUGUUGACUACCCUUGUGUUGUGCUGAUAUUCCAUCACAGAGGUGAGUGCCCAGAGAACGGUAAGGAGGGAAGCCCAGAGGAAAGGCUUUGCGGGGAGAAUCCCCACUGCUUUCUUAUGGGAAAUCAAAUGAAUGAGAUAGGGGUGAGCAGGUAAUAUCUAAAUUGUACAGAGUCCCCCUUCUUCCUUCUUUUCUUCCUUUCUUUCUUCCCUGGUAUGGUUUGAAUGCAUCCCCCCAAAGUCAUGUGUUAGAUAGUCCCCAAGGCAAGUGUUGUGAAGUGGGACCUAAUGGGAGGUGUUUAGGUCAUGAGGGCUCUCCCCUCAUGAAUGGAUUAAUGCUGCCAUAUAAAGGGUUUCUGGGAGUGGGCUCUCUCUCAUCCUGCCUUCCAUCAUGUGAGGACACAACGUGCAAGGCACCAUCGUGGAAGAACAGAAUGUCUUCAUCUGACAUCGAACCUGCUGAUGCCUUGACCUCAGACUUCUCAGCCUUCAGAACUGUGAGACAAUAAAUUUCUGUUUACAAAUUACUCAGCCUGUGGUAUUCUGUUAUAGCAACACAAAAAGAAGCCACCCCCCAUUCCUCACUCCCUCCAACCUUUACUGAGCAAUAGCUGCCUAACUGUUUUGUGCUAAGGGAUGGAGAUACAAAGAUGACUGGAACACAGUUUCUGCUCCCUAGGAGUUCUCAGUCAAGACACACAAGUAAGUAACACAGCUCUUUGAUCUUAGAAUGUACUCUCAAUAUACUAACAGAUUUUCAGAAGAAAAAAAGUUAGAAACACUACCACACUCAGUGUCCACAUUAGCAAAACAUUCUGGUUUCAGAAACACUCAAGUGUGAAAAAAAAGUGUUUUAAAAUUGAGCAGUAUGAACAGAGUAAUCAUUUUCACAAUAGGAGUGGUCCCAUUGACCUAUCAAAACAUGAAAAUGUGGGGGAAAAUGUGUCUUGGAAUUGGUAGUUACAGCGGUGUGAUCAUUGUCACAAUGGGUGGGAACAAAACGCCAUUGGAACCCACUGGAGGAACCCCUUAAUGCUGUGUGGGAACACCAGACAAGGCUCCUGGCAGGAGAUAGUGUUGGAAUGCUGCCUUCUAGGCUAACAGUGGUGGACAAGAGGAUGGUAAAGAGUCCAGAGGAAGCGGGGUUCCAGGCAGAGGGAGCAGCUUCUGAGAGAGACCCAAUUUAUCUUCAGGCUGGAAAAAGAAAAGGAAGGCCUGAUGAAAACCGUGUAUUUGGCUUUGUUUACAUUAAUGAAGUGAUUGGACAGAAAAAGUCACAAUGACUUUUUUCUUUUGUGAAAAAAAUUAUUGGGAAUGGAAUUUUGAAGUCAGGGAGACUGAAAGAGGACUCACCUAUGUCUAUCUGGAAGAUGUAUCCAAAACACCCAGGAGUUUUGUGCGCAUGUGUAUGAAGGAAGUUCAGCUAGGAAAAGCUUGCAGCCUGGGCAAUACAGCAAGACCCCAAUUCUAAAAAAUUUUUUUUUUAAUUAGCUGGGUGUGAUGGUGUGGCACCUGUGGUCCUAGCUACUCAGGAGGCUGAGGUAGGAGGAUCACUUGAGACUGGGAGGUCAAGGCCGCAGGGAGAAAUAAUAGCAUCACUGUACUCUACCUCGACCCUGCCUCGAAAAAAAAAUAAGAAAAGAAAAAGGAAAAGGAAAAGAAAAAAGUUCAGAUACUUCAAAAUGUGGAUUUGCCAUAAAAACCUUUUCUUGAAGCAUUCUUGAAAUUUCUUACCAGAUGUCAAACAGAAAAAGCCUCACAUUACUGGAGAAACUUUAUCUAAAGCCACAUACACUGGGAAUAUGGAGAUUUGUGAAUAGAAAGAGGUAAAAGCUGGAAGUGAUUCCUUAGUCAGAUGAGGUGCUUCCAUGAAGAAGAGUAGGCAUGUCUUGAAGCAAGUUAUGGAGGAAUUGGCCACCUCGCCAUUCCUCCCACGUCACUCUGUGAAACUCCAGGUAUCCUUCCAGGUAGUCACCUGCCUGUUUUGUUCAUGAUGUGCCUGCUGACUUCAACAAAGAAAGAUUUUUUUUUGUGAGUGCCUUUGGAAACUACAAAGCUGCUGAUGUUUUGCAGAUGGUAUAAAGGUUUUUUGUUUUGUUUUGCUUGUGUCAAACAAAAGUGACUCGACAGAAAAGGUUCAUUUCCUUGCACAGACAGUGCUGUUGCAAUGCGUGGCUAUGCAUCUGACUUUGCUACUUGAGUAAAAGGGAGCACCUAUGUUGUUCUCACUCACCGCAUUUCACACAAACGUAUUCUGGCUCUUCAAAAACCCCAAGAGAAGUUUUGUCAACAGCCAUAAAAGUCAUCAACUUUUAUCUAGUCUCUGAAUCACAGCAUUUUUGCAGGUUUUGUCAAGAAAUGAUGGCAGAAAAUGAAGUGCUUCUCUACCACAGAGAAGCUUACUGUCUUUCAAGGGGAAAGAUUCACUGUUUUCUAAAAGAAAAAGAAAAUCCUCUCCUGGAACAUGUAGCAAGAAAAAAUGUUGUCUGAGGGUUGGCUGACCCAGCGGAUAUUUUUAACCAUCUGAACGAGAUGAACCUUCCAGUUCGAGGCCCUGAUACCACCAUUAUGAAUGAUCCUGAAAACUUUACCAGCUUUUUUGGCUCAGCUGCCAAUAUGAAAGGAGAGUUCAGGCUGACAUCUUUGCCAACUUUUGCGAUGCUGGAGGAAGUGCUUUAUCUCAAUGAAGUUGACAUACAAAAUACUGUCAGUUUAUCUGAAAAGAGAAAUCUACAAACACCUGGAAACACUGUAGAACUCCUUUAAAAAUUAUUUCUAUCUUGAUGGUAUCAAAGUUGGACCAUAGAAUUGCAUUCUUUUUCUUGUUGAUAUAAACUGUCUCAAAGGUGUUUGCCUAGCCAAAGAUGGCGAACAUUGAUCUUGGGAUGGAAAACAGCUACAACUAGAGUUUAGCUAAAAAGUCUUGGAGAGUUUUGGUGCUCCUUGACAGAAACAUCUGUCUACUUUGCAAAGGAGCCGUAAAAGCUUUAAUUCCAUUUUCAACAAUAUAUCUUUGAGGAUUGGAGUUUUAAUGUUGUUACUAGAAAAAAUCAAAAUCAAUUGGAUGUCCAGCAUGACAAGUGUAUUAUCUCAUCAAAGACAUCCCGCUGUCUCAUAUUCUUAUUCAAACUAGGCAAAGCAGCCUUUAUAUGGGUAUGUCUUUUAAAAAACAAAAUUUAACUUCAAUUUGCCUGUAUUUCAAGUGCAAUGUCUUAUUUUUUUAAAUGUGGUUCAAAGAAGCAAAUCUGUUACUAUGUAAUAUAUAUUUUAAACAUACUAUUUUGGUAAUUGUACUUCAGUAUACACGCUUGGUUUUCCUUGUAAUCCUACGCCUUUAUUUUAUGCAUCAAAAAACAUUAUUUUAAGAAAGGUCUGUAGGCUUCACCAGAUUGCCCAAGGAAUCCACUAUGUAAAAACAGUAAAGAACUGAUGGCCCCGCACAGUUGCUCAGGCCCGUAAUCCCAGCACUUUGGGAGGCCAAGGCGGGUGGAUCACUUGAGGUCAGGAGUUUCAGACUAGCCUGGCCAACAUGGUGAAACCCCAUCUCUACUAAAAAUACAAAAAUUAGCCAGGCAUGGUGGCAUGUGCCUGUAGUCCCAGCUACUUGGGAGGCUGAGGCAUGAAAAUUGCUGAACCCAGGAGGUGGAGGUUGCAGUGAACCGAAAUUGUGCCACUGCACUCCAGCAUGGGCAACAGAGCGAGACUCUGUCUCACACACACAAAAAAAGAUCUCCUGAUAUAAGAGGACAUGAUCAUCUGCCAUGCUCUCAAGUUGCUUAACGUUCAAAAAGGCAGGUGUGUUGUGUAUGAUAUGGUGCUUGAAGAAAGAGAAGCUCCCUUGACAAAAGGCCAGGCCAGCCGUUUGGCUCCUGUGCUGUCAGAAAACCCAGUGGAGGUGGCAGUCUUUAAUGUUCAACCUCAUCAUUCCCAAGACAAUGGAAGAAGAGGGCAGAUACCAACCCAACAUAGGAAGGCACCUCUUCUCUUUUCUUUCUAUAGUAACUGAUUCCAGAAAACUGGCCAUUUCAAUCAAGCCCCCGUUGCUGAAGUGAAAUCUGUUACUGAGUUCUUCCUGUAUUCAGGGAGUGAUAUAGGGUUACAGAGAAGGGAAACACAAAGUCUCUUCCCUUGAGGAGUAAACAAUUUAGUGUUGGAGACAAAAUUAAUACAUAAAACAAUUAAGGGGAAUUAAAUGCAAGGCUAGAGGGUGUUUUAAGAAAAUUCUGCCUGUUGACUUUUUCAACACAGUAUCCUCAGGGUCUAGAAUAUUGCUUGGCACACAGUAUAUGCCAGAAAAAAAAUCUUUGUUGAAUAAAUAAGUUGAUGAUGGAAAUGUUAAAAUAACAUCUAUUGUUAUGAGAAUAAGACAGUUGUCCCUCAGUAACCAUGGGGAAUUGAUUCCAGGACCUCCCUUGGGUACCAAAGUCCAAGGAUGCUCAAGUACCUAAUAUAAAAUGGUGUAGUAUUUAUUUGCAUAUAACCUAAGCACAUUUUCCCAUAUACUUUAUUUAUUUAUUUAUUUAUUUGAGAUGGAGUCUCGCUCUGUCGCACAGGCUGGAUUGCAGUGGCGUGAUCUCGGCUCACUGCCACCUCCGCCUCCUGGAUUCAAGCGAUUCUCCUGCCUCAGCCUCCCAUGUAGCUGGGAUUACAGGCUUGUGCCACCACAUCCAGCUAAUUUUGUUUUUUAGUAGAGAUGGGGGUUCACCAUGUUGGCCAGGCUGGUCUUGAACUCCUGAUCGUAAGUGAUCCUCCAGCCUCGGCCUCCCAAAGUGCUGGGAUUACAGGCAUGAGCCACUGCCCCUGGCCUUCCCAUAUACUUUAAAUCAUCUCUGGAUGCUUACAAUACCUAAUACACUGUAAAUGUUAUGUAAAUGUUUAUAAUUUAUAUUAUUUUUUAUUUUUUUCCAAAUAUUUUGAUCCUCUGUUGAAUUCACAGAUGCAGAACCUGCAGAUAUGAAGGGUCAGCUAUACAUGUUAUUAGAGAAAAUGUAAAAAUACAGAAGACUAUAAAGAAGAAGUAAAAAAGAAAGGCUAACCAGCCAACAUUUUUGCUAUAUUGCUAUAUUUCUUCUUAGUUCUUUUUUCUAAAUACAUGCAUAACACACACACACACACACACACACACACACACACUCACUCAUACUUUCUUUUAAGAACAGAAUUGAGACUUGAGUUUUAUAGCCCGAUUUUUUUCUCUUAAAAUUAUAUUGUGAACAUUUUGCUGUGCCAUUAAGUAUUCUUCAGAACAUUAUUUUUAAUGGCUGUAUCAUAUAGUAUUCUACAAAUAAAUCAUGGUGUAUGUAGCCUAAUUUAUUAACCACUUCCCUAUUGUUGAACAUUACUGUUGGGAACACCAACAACAGCUUUUAUUUGUUGCUUUGCUCUGUUCCAAGUAUUGUGCUGAGCUUUUUCCCUUGAUGCAUAAUCUCAUUUAAUUUUGUUCUCAUAGCAAUCUAAUGAGGUAGAAUUCAUUAGACCCAUUUUACAGGGGAGAAACAUGAAGGUCAGAGGAGUAAUGUGUCAAAGGCUGCAAUUCCAGAAAGAGGCAAAUCUGGGAUUCAAGUCCUGGUCCCAUUUGAUGUUAAUGUCCAGGCACUCAAACAUGACCCUGGCCUGCCUCACCAGCGUGUAUGAGGAAGGUUCAUGCUUUAUCAGGCCAUGAAAGAGAUUGAGAAACACAUAUCAGAAAGGCAGGAGGAGACACGGAAGAGAGGAGUAUGGAGGCAACAAAGGAGAGAUCUUAAGUAGGAGGAAGUGCUUUUCUGUAUUCAAAGCUGCGAAGAUAGAAGGACAAGACCAAUGCAAAAACUGAUUAAUCUUUUUCAAGACAGGCAUUUCAGAAGCAUAAUGGGGGGUGAAAUGCGUGUUCCUAGCUCAGUGCUCCUGACUUGGUGGUAGUGGAGUGACAAAACCAUUCAUUUAUUUAUUCCCAAUACUGGGAGUCAUGGAACAGCCUUCAUAAGGUGGCAUCCAAGCAGCACAAUGUCCCUCCUGUUCCUGAGCAUUUCCGCAUCCCUGCAUCAGUGAGCAGUAUCACUAGCAGGAGCUCAGAGGCUUGUAAUGGAAGGCAGGGACAUCACCCUAUAGGGACAGCAGAACUGCAGGGUGACCAUAGGGGCUGGCCGGGGACCAGGCAUAGGUGACCAGCUUUCCGGGUGUGCCUUGGACUGAGGGGUUUUCCUGGAGGCAGAACUUCCAGUGUUAAAAACAGGAAAGUCCCAGGUAAACUGGGAUGGUUGGUCACCCUAGGCUGAGGCCCAGCUCAGAGUCUGGGCUUAUCCAGGGGCAGGUCCGUGCAGGCUUCCUGAAAGAGUAGCGAGGGAUCCGGCGCUGUUUGCGCAUGCUCACCUCCCACUUUCGGCCCUUGCAGGCUGCCUUUCCCUUGGCCUCCUCACUGAAACUUCCUCCACAAGGGUCACCGAUGAACCUUACAUACUGCCAGAUUCCACAGCCACUUUUGGUCCAAGUCACUGUCAUCCCUCACCUGGGCUACUGCAGUAGUCUCCUAAUGGUCCCCUGCUUCUAUCCUUUGCCCUACAAUCUAUUUCCAACCCGACAGCCAAAGUGACCUUUUCCUUAAAAAUUGAACUUUUUUUCAUUAAGAAAUAAUGUAUACAUAGUAAAACUCAAGUGUAUUAAUACGCAAUUCUGCAUGCUUUGGCAAACACAUGCAGUGGUUUAACCUCCACCGUAGUCAAGAUGUAAAAAUGUUUUUUUUUUUUCACUCCAACUAAUUCCUCUGUACCAACCUAUUUCCUUACCCCCAGUCCCUGUUAACCACUGAUUUCUGUUUCUAAACUUUUUGCCUUUUUGGAAUGGCAUGUAAAUAAAUCAUAUUGUAUGUA
rnacentral:lncRNA from 1 species